UACGUAGGGAGCAAGCGUUGUCCGGAAUCAUUGGGCGUAAAGCGCGCGUAGGCGGCUCGAUCAGUCUGUUGUGAAAGUCAGAGGCUCAACCUUUGAAUGCCGAUGGAUACUGUCGAGCUAGAGUCCGGAAGAGGCGGGUGGAAUUCCUGGUGUAGCGGUGGAAUGCGCAGAUAUCGUGAGGAACACCAGUGGCGAAGGCGGCUCACUGGCCCGGUACUGACGCUGAGGUGCGAAAGCGUGGGGAGCAAACAGG
rnacentral:rRNA from 1 species